AGGUCGGAUUAGCUAGUUGGUGGGGUAAUGGCUCACCAAGGCGACGAUCCGUAACUGGUCUGAGAGGAUGAUCAGUCACACUGGAACUGAGACACGGUCCAGACUCCUACGGGAGGCAGCAGUGGGGAAUAUUGGACAAUGGGCGAAAGCCUGAUCCAGCCAUGCCGCGUGUGUGAAGAAGGUCUUCGGAUUGUAAAGCACUUUAAGUUGGGAGGAAGGGUUGUAGAUUAAUACUCUGCAAUUUUGACGUUACCGACAGAAUAAGCACCGGCUAACUCUGUGCC
rnacentral:rRNA from 1 species